GCCCCGCCCUCCGGAAGUGCCGCCUUCCCCUGACCCGGCCGCGCGCCUCCUUUUUCACGGCCGGUGCCCGCCACCGUCGCCGCCGCCGCCGCCGCCAUGGGGGGCAAAAACAAGCAGCGAACCAAGGGCAACCUGAGGCCUUCUAGCAGUGGCCGAGCUGCAGAGCUCCUCGCCAAAGAACGUGGAACAGUGCCUGGGUUUAUUGGCUUUGGAACAUCUCAGAGUGAUCUAGGAUACAUUCCUGCAGUUCAAGGAGCAGAGGAAAUAGACAGCCUUGUGGAUGCUGACUUUCGAAUGGUGUUGCGAAAACUUUCUAAAAGGGAUAUCACAACAAAAUUAAAAGCUAUGCAAGAGUUUGGAACAAUGUGCAAGGAAAGAGAAGUGGAAGUAGUUAAAGGUGUUCUUCCUUACUGGCCAAGAAUUUAUUGUAAAAUCUCACUAGAUCAUGAUCGCCGUGUUCGAGAAGCAACUCAGCAAUCUUUUGAGCAACUGAUUCUUAAAGUAAAGAAACACUUAGCUCCUUACUUAAAAAGUAUCAUGGGAUACUGGCUGAUUGCUCAGUGUGACACUUACUCCCCUGCUGCUUCUGCUGCAAAAGUAGCUUUUGAAAAAGCUUUUCCUUCUGGCAAACAACCUGAAGCCUUAGUAUUCUGUAAAGAUGAAAUUCUUAAUGUACUUCAAGAUCACCUUCUGAAAGAAACACCUGAUACGCUCAGUGACCCCCAAACUGUACCAGAGGAAGAAAGGGAAGCCAAAUUUUUCCGGAUUCUGACCUGUUCCUUGUUAGCUUUAAAAAAGUUGCUUAGCAUGUUGCCAAAGAGAGAGAUGCAUUCAUUGGAGGAAAAGUUAAUGCCACUUCUGUCCCAAAACAAAUUUUGGAAAUAUGGCAAACACAGUGUACCACAGGUUCGCUCAGCUUUCUUUGAGCUGACUUCUGCUUUUUGCCAGUACUUGCCUGAGAUGGUGAAAGCUGAAGCACCAAGAGUUUGCCCUGCUGUUCUUCUCAGCAUUGACGACAGUGAUGCAGUGGUGUGUCCUGCUCUUUGGGAAGCUGUACUUUAUGCUGUCACCACUAUUGAGGGUUUCACUGUAACUUUCAAAUAUAUGGUGUCCAGCAUGCCUGAAAAUCAGAGUUGUUUUGACUGUUGGAGUCAUGUAAAUGCCAAAAAGGGAGUUCUACCAAAGCUAUGGACAGUGCUUCGAGAAGGUGGACGAGGACUAGCUACUGUUAUAUACCCAAAUCUCUUGCCAUUCAUUAGCAAGGUACCUCCUGGCCUUGCAGAACCAAAGCUGGAAUAUUUCAGAACUUUUUUCAGCUCUAUAAUUCAAGGGUUGUCAAGUGAGCGAGCAAUAGCCAGCCCUUCAGAAAGUUCAGCAAUUAUAACUGCAUUUAUGGAAUGUUUGCGCUUUGUCAUACUACAGAAAACAGGUGAAGAAGAUGACCAAAGACAAAUUCAUCAAAUGCUUAUAUAUGACCAGCUAAUUCCUCUUACCGAUGCUGUACUUAAGGAGCCCAGGUUACAAAAUGGACCAUUAUUUUAUCAAAUAGCAGAAACACUGAGCUGCUGGGAAGCUAAAGCAGAACUCUCCAAUGAUAACGGCACUGAUGAAGUUUUCAAAAAGCUGUUGUCAGAUUUUUGGGGCCAUCUUUUAAAAAUGUGUGUACUUCACGUCGAUACGUUGGAUGCCGAUGAGAAAUCAUUAUUUGCCAUAUCUAGUAUGCUAGAAAUUCUUCAGAAUCCAAAGCGUGCUACAAAACCAAACAGAAAAUCUCUAAAAAUCAGAUUUAGAGAUGAGGAUGAAUCUGAAAGAAACACAGAGAAUGGAAGGCUCACAGAAGUGAGAAAUAUUGACUCUGAAAUGCAGGCUGACUUGUGGCAUAGUUCACUGCUAAGGAAAGAACCUUUGGAGAAUUUAGUCUGCAACCUUGCUGAACUGAGUAUUGUGUAUGUCAAUGAACAGAAGUCAGAACAGCAUUUGAAAUUUCUCUCUGCCCUGCUCAACUAUUUUUCUUCAAACAGAGUUUUUCAGGUACUUUUAGAGCAGGGAAAUGAUGCAAGCUCUGCUCAAGCUGAAUCCCAAAAUGAAAUGAAAGCUCAUCAUGAAAGUCCAUCUGUACAAUUUCUGUAUAUGAAUUUAAUAACUUGGCUGAAAGAAGAUUGGAGGAAAGACACCCAUUUUCUGGUUGAUGUUUUGUACAGUGUGCUUAACUGUUGCAAUAGUAAUGAUGAAAGGAAAAUAAUUCUUGAUGAUUUAACAAAGAUGGAUCUGAAAUGGAUUAUUUUUCUCCAGAUAAUUCAAAAGGCAUGCUCAAGCACAACAAAACUUUCCUUAGUCUCUGACUGGCUGAAAGGAGAUACACUUGGAGAAAGACUUGUAAUGCUGGCAGAUGAUCUGUGUCACCUGGGUUUAAAACCUACGGCAGCCUCGUCAGAAUCACCCUCUUCAGAAAGGUGGACACUCCUGAGCUUAGUGUUGUCACAACACAUUAAAAAUGAAUCUUUGAUUGGGGAAACUUUUGUUGAAAAGAUUAUUGAUAAACUUCAAGCAGCUCUGUCUAAAGCUAAGGAUCUUUCUGAAGCUGGAAAUACUGAACCAUCAGUAUCUUUCAUCUGUGAUGUAGCCUCAAGCUUUUUCAGCUCAGUUAAAGGGUGUUUACUGAUGCCAUCCUCAGAAGAUUUGCUGCUUACCAUCUUCCAAUUGUGUGCUCAGAGGCAGGAUGCUAUGCACUUAACAGAUUUACUUGUAUGUAAAUUAAAACACACUUGGAUGUCUGGUGUAAGUUCACUUGUGCGUCAACUUUGGAGUAUGCAGAAACAGAGUACCUUUUUGCAUAAAUCUGCACUGUGGGUCAAGAAUCAAAUUCAGUCUUCCUCUUUGGAUGUUAAAAGCCUUCAGGUUUUGAUCUCUGCAGUUAGUGAUUUGUUGUCUAAGCUUAUGGAAGCUGACGGACAGUCUGGAUGUCUUGUGGGAGCUUACGUUGAGCACGUCAUGCCAAACAAAACUGAGUGGGGGAAAUUGCGCGAGUCUCUAUCCACUGAGUGGAUGCACAAACCUCUUUUGGAAGGAAGGCUUAGUAUGAAUUGUGAACCUUUGCGAUCAUGUGUUAAGCUGUGUGGCACAACUAAACUUCCAGGCCAUUUGUGUACUUCAGCCUUAUUAAGUAAAACAGUGCUACUUGUAUUGGAAAAUGGUAUAGUCCAUGGAAAUGAUGAUGCCGAAAGAAAGAAAAUUGACAAUAUAAUUGCAGAACUGUUGUACUCAUUACAAUGGAUUGAAGAAUUGGAGAAUCCUCCUUAUCUGCUUCUGGAAUAUCAUCAUAUGUUGGAACAAAUGCACAUCACAUAUGAGAAGUUCAGUACACUUAGUAAUACACUUAGCCUUCAGCAAACAAUAUUUGAUAGAUCAGAGGAACAUGGAAGACUCUGGUCUUUAACCAUGGCUAAAGUGAUUCGUGUGGAAAAUACAGUAUCCUGUGAGAAGAAACAACUUUUUAAGACAACAGACGGGUUUCUGCCAUUAACAGAGGGCAGAUUGCAUACACUUCAGUGUCUAUCACCUUUUUUAAUUGAGGAAGAAAAGAAAGAACUUGUCUUCCACUGUGUGGCCAAACUUAUGACAUGCACACAGACAGAGCUUUCCAGCACUGAUGGAGCGUUUGGGUGUCUUUCCAUUUUGAACUCCUGCUUGAAUGAUAGAAGUAUUGAUUGUGGUCAUCUACUACCUGGAAUACUAAAAAUCAUAAUGUCUUGGAAAAACGAUAAUGAGGACAGCUUUCUCUUUAGCUGCAAUCUGAAAGAAACAAGUGCUCAGUUGCUUGGUUUCAACAUAGAGAUGAUCCGUUACCUUCCCUUGCUGUUGAAGUAUUCCACAGCUCCUUUGGCCGAUAAUGAAUGGGACUUUAUCAUGUGCUCCAUGCUGGCUUGGUUAGAGACAACAAGUGAAAACUGUUCGCUUUAUCAUGUCCCGCUUGUGCAGAUUUUUGCUUGUGUCAGUUGUGACUUGGCAUCUGCCCUUAGUGCUUACUUUGAAGCUGCAGCUCCUGAAACUACUGAAAAUCUUCCUGUGAACUUGAUCAGUGAAUGGAAAGAAUUCUUUUCUGAGGGAAUUCACAAUUUGCUAUUACCUCUGUUGGUGAAACUCACAGGAGAAACCAAAAAUGCUUCUGAAGGCCCUUUUCAGAACUCUGUGUUAAUGUCUUUGGGCGAAGCUCUAACUUACAUCUCAAAGGACCAGUUGUUGAACCAUAAAUUGCCAGCAAAGUUUGUUGCAGGCCAGAAAACAAAUCUUCCAGAUAAACUCCAGACUCUACUAAAUACAUUAUCUCCAUUGUUGCUUUUCCGGGCUAGACCCGUACAGAUUUCUGUCUACCACAUGUUGUAUAAAUUAAUGCCUGAAUUGCCUAAAUUUGAUGAUGAAGAUCUCAAAUCUUAUGGUGACGAAGAGGAGGAAUCAGCAUUAUCACCUCCAGCAGCUCUUAUGUCUGUCCUGGCCACUCAAGAACUCUUGCUAGAAAACAUACUGGAAUGCAUUCCAGUUGGAGAAUUUGCAGUUAUUCAGCCCCUGAGCGAUGAGUUCUGCCUUGUCCUAGGAUAUCUUCUCACUUGGAAGUUAACAUUAGCUUUCUUCAAAGCAGCUUCUUCUCAGCUGCGAGUUCUCUACUCACAAUACCUUAGAAGAACUAAAAGCUUGAAUAAACUGCUUUAUCACUUGUUCAGGCUUAUGCCUGAAAACCCUGUCUCUUCUGGGCCAACUUCAGAAGUUCCAUAUAUAGACACAAAAACCUUCUUUACGGAAGAGCUUCAUCUAGAUGUCAAAGGGACAGGAGUCCUCUCAUCUCAGAUUCCGCACUUGGCCUGCUCUGUCUACCACAUAACACUGAAAGACUUGCCAGCCAUGGUCAGGCUUUGGUGGAAUAGCUGUGAGAAACGUGUCUUCAAUGUUGUAGAUAAAUUUACAAGCAAAUAUGUCAGCAGUGUGCUUUCUUCACAGGAAAUAACUUCUGUUCAGAAUAGCACACAGUUACUUAGUGGCAUGAUGGUAAAAGCUCGGUCUGCAGCACGGGAAGUCAUUGCUACCUAUUCAGUUGAAGAUAUAUUUAUUGAACUAAUAAUACAGCUUCCAUCAAAUUACCCACUGGGAUCCAUAACAGUUGAGAGUGGAAAGAGGGUUGGUGUGGCUGUACAGCAAUGGCGCAAUUGGAUGCUACAGUUAAGCACAUAUCUUACACAUCAGAAUGGAAGUAUUAUGGAUGGCUUAUCUUUGUGGAAAAAUAAUGUGGAUAAACGUUUUGAGGGCAUUGAAGAUUGCAUGAUCUGUUUUUCAGUCAUUCAUGGUUCCAACUAUUCUCUUCCUAAAAAAGCUUGCAGAACAUGCAAGAAAAAGUUUCAUUCAGCUUGCUUGUACAAAUGGUUCACAUCCAGCAACAAGUCCACCUGUCCACUCUGUCGAGAGACAUUUUUCUGAAAUAAAACGGUCUUUCUUCUUUCUGUGAGUGAAGAUAUAAAUGAAGAGGAGACAAUAAACUGUAUGUUGAAAGAAGCUAACUACUUGGAAAUAAUGUCAGUUACUUUAAAUGCUUGACUAGUGGGAUAUGACACAUAUUUACCUCUGGACUGUUUUUUGUAACACUGGGCUUCCAGAGGAGAAAUUUCGUGAUAUUUUUUGAGAAAGAGAGAAUGGAAAUUAUUUAAAACUGAUAUUGAAAAGGCCUAGCUGAAAACACAGAUUAAGGAGCAAGCUGUCUUGUUUCCUAGCUACUGAUACUAAAACUCCAGGAUUGUUUCCGUUGCAUCACUUUUAUUAUUCUAAAUUACUUCUUUGCAAGUUCAAUAACUGAUUUGAAGGCCAGUUGUGGUUAACCAGGUAUUGCUUGAAAAGAACCAUCUUAAACUCUUCCAGCAGACCUUAACUUGCAAAUUGUCUAUUAGGAACAGCCAUGUGGAGAGCUUUUGUUUUGGUUCUGCUAGAACAAAGAAGUGCAGGCACUUGCAAAGCAGCAGUAUGUCUUUUGACUACUGACAGAGUAGUGCCUAGGGGUGUGGGCGAGCAGAAUUUUUGCUUUCUUCCUGGUAAGUUUGACACUACAUAGAAAGUCUGUACCUGCCGUGCAGCUUAUUCUCAUGCAUAUUGAAUGCAGGAGUAUGCUUCCUAAAACUCUCCAGAAGGCGUCGCUUUCUUUGGUCUUGUAGGAGAAGGGAAUAGGUGUGCCCUGGCAAAUGCUAAGUGUAGGUAUGUGCAGGAUGAUGGGAGCAUAAUAGGAAUCGCUUCUUACAGAACUCACCUGUGUUCUUAGUUGGAUUGCAUUUUGACAAGUGCUUCCACUAAAGUUGCAGCAGACAGCUGAAGCCAGGAGAAUUGACUCAUGAUUUAUUAAAGUGGACGCAUAUAAUUUCCUUGUCUAAAUAUCCAGUUGUUAGAUAGGCUAGUGCAAUCGUUCUUUGUUGAAAGCAUGUUGGUUUAUUACACUUUUUGUUCUGAUUUUCAUUAUUCUGUCCUUUAUAAUUUAAAACUGCAUAUACUGUUGAGCAUUGUGAUCUACUGUGACAGAUGACUGCCUUUUUUUUAUCUCUGAUUACCUCUUUUAAAACUAAUUCUUUAGUUAUAACUAAAAGCUACACAGAUUUAAUUAAAACUUCCUUUUGAUAAA